rnacentral:misc_RNA from 1 species
AAGUCGUAACAAGGUCUCCGUUGGUGAACCAGCGGAGGGAUCAUUACAGAGUUAUACAACUCCCAUACCAUUUGUCAACUUUACCCAGUUAUGCCUCGGCGUGAACUGCGUACGGAGGCAGAGUGGUGUUGCUAGGUGGCUACCCUGUAGCUUACCCUGUAGCACUACCCUGUAUCAACUCCCGCGCAGCCCGCCGGUGGUACACUAAACUCUUGUUUUAUUUUAUAUUCUGAGCGUAUUAUUUUAAUAAUUAAAACUUUCAACAACGGAUCUCUUGGUUCUG